rnacentral:rRNA from 1 species
GGUUGCGAUCAUACCAGCACUAAUGCACCGGAUCCCAUCAGAACUCCGUAGUUAAGCGUGCUUGGGCGAGAGUAGUACUAGGAUGGGUGACCCCCUGGGAAGUCCUCGUGUUACAACCCC